AGCAGCCGCGGUAAUUCCAGCUCCAAUAGCGUAUAUUAAAGUUGUUGCAGUUAAAAAGCUCGUAGUAGAAUUUCGGGGUCAGCAAGUUGGUCGUGCCACUGGUAUGCACUGGCUUUGCUGAUUCCUCCUUCUUGAAGAACUGUAAUGCUAUUCAUUUAGUGUUGCAGGGAAACAGGACUGUUACUUUGAAAAAUUAGAGUGUUUAAAGCAGGCUAACGCUUGAAUACAUUAGCAUGGAAUAAUGAAAUAGGACGUUUGAUCCUAUUUUGUUGGUUUCUAGGAUUGACGUAAUGAUUAAUAGGGAUAGUUGGGGGCAUUAGUAUUCAAUUGUCAGAGGUGAAAUUCUUGGAUUUAUUGAAGACUAACUACUGCGAAAGCAUUUGCCAAGGAUGUU
rnacentral:rRNA from 1 species